rnacentral:rRNA from 1 species
GAUGAACGCUGGCGGCGUGCCUAAUACAUGCAAGUCGAGCGAACGGACGAGAAGCUUGCUUCUCUGAUGUUAGCGGCGGACGGGUGAGUAACACGUGGAUAACCUACCUAUAAGACUGGGAUAACUUCGGGAAACCGGAGCUAAUACCGGAUGAUAUUUUGAACCGCAUGGUUCAAAAGUGAAAGACGGUCUUGCUGUCACUUAUAGAUGGAUCCGCGCUGCAUUAGCUAGUUGGUAAGGUAACGGCUUACCAAGGCAACGAUGCAUAGCCGACCUGAGAGGGUGAUCGGCCACACUGGAACUGAGACACGGUCCAGACUCCUACGGGAGGCAGCAGUAGGGAAUCUUCCGCAGUGGGCGAAAGCCUGACGGAGCAACGCCGCGUGAGUGAUGAAGGUCUUCGGAUCGUAAAACUCUGUUAUUAGGGAAGAACAUAUGUGUAAGUAACUGUGCACAUCUUGACGGUACCUAAUCAGAAAGCCACGGCUAACUACGU